GAAUCUUGGACAAUGGGCGCAAGCCUGAUCCAGCCAUGCCGCGUGAGUGAAGAAGGCCUUAGGGUUGUAAAACUCUUUCGCCGGAGAAGAUAAUGACGGUAUCCGGAGAAGAAGCCCCGGCUAACUUCGUGCCAGCAGCCGCGGUAAUACGAAGGGGGCUAGCGUUGUUCGGAAUUACUGGGCGUAAAGCGCACGUAGGCGGGUCUGUAAGUAGGGGGUGAAAGCCCAGGGCUCAACCCUGGAACUGCCUUCUAGACUGCAGGCCUGGAGGUCAGGAGAGGCGAGUGGAAUUCCGAGUGUAGAGGUGAAAUUCGUAGAUAUUCGGAGGAACACCAGUGGCGAAGGCGACUCGCUGGACUGAUACUGACGCUGAGGUGCGAAAGCGUGGGGAGCAAACAG
rnacentral:rRNA from 1 species